AUGCAGAGCUUAUUCUUCUUCAAUCACUGACUUUGACCUCUAUGAUCUUCUUGGAGUUGAUAGUUCAUCUAACCAGGCUCAGAUUAAGCUGGCCUAUAGGAUGCUGCAGAAGCGAUGCCACCCAGAUAUCGCCGGAGUACCUGGUCAUGACAUGGCUAUUAUCCUCAAUGAAGCCUAUGCUCUUCUUUCUGAUCCAAUUGAACGUAUGGCUUAUGAUAAGGUCAGUUCAUACCUGGUCAUGACAUGGCUAUUAUACUCAAUGAAGCCUAUGCUCUUCUUUCUGAUCCAAUUGCACGUAUGGCUUAUGAUAAGGUCAGUUCAUACAUGUACAUGCUGGAAAAAGUAGUAGUCUUUUCAUUGUUAAAUCACUUUUGUUUAGUAUUGUGCACCUUGUAUAAAAAUCACUGCUAUUCCAUCCAUCUAGUACGUGUUUUAUGGAUCCUACUAAAUCUACUUCUGAUUCGGACUAUGUAUACAUAUGACUGACUUUAAAUCCUGAAUUCAGGAUAAGUCUUAGGUAGACUAUGCCUAUCUUCUUUAAGAGACAAAAAUUAUUUCCCUCACUUUCCUUGUUGCCUUGUAUUAUCCUGAAAAUGGUCUUUAAAUCAGCUUAAUCUCUUUCUUUUUUGAUGUUUCUCUUGUAACCAAAUAAUGCAGGAAC
rnacentral:lncRNA from 1 species